GACGAACGCUGGCGGCGUGCUUAACACAUGCAAGUCGAACGGAAAGGCCCUGCUUGCAGGGUACUCGAGUGGCGAACGGGUGAGUAACACGUGGGUGAUCUGCCCUGCACUUCGGGAUAAGCUUGGGAAACUGGGUCUAAUACCGGAUAGGAGCCAUCUUUAGUGUGGUGGUUGGAAAGUUUUUUCGGUGUAGGAUGAGCUCGCGGCCUAUCAGCUUGUUGGUGGGGUAAUGGCCUACCAAGGCGGCGACGGGUAGCCGGCCUGAGAGGGUGUACGGCCACAUUGGGACUGAGAUACGGCCCAGACUCCUACGGGAGGCAGCAGUGGGGAAUAUUGCACAAUGGGCGCAAGCCUGAUGCAGCGACGCCGCGUGGGGGAUGAAGGCCUUCGGGUUGUAAACUCCUGUCGCUAGGGACGAAGCUUUGUUGUGACGGUACCUAGAGAAGAAGCACCGGCUAACUACGUG
rnacentral:rRNA from 1 species